rnacentral:rRNA from 1 species
UGGGGAAUCUUGGACAAUGGGGGCAACCCUGAUCCAGCCAUGCCGCGUGAGUGAUGAAGGCCUUAGGGUCGUAAAGCUCUUUCGCCUGUGAAGAUAAUGACGGUAGCAGGUAAAGAAACCCCGGCUAACUCCGUGCCAGCAGCCGCGGUAAUACGGAGGGGGUUAGCGUUGUUCGGAAUUACUGGCGUAAAGCGCACGUAGGCGGACCAGAAAGUUGGGGGUGAAAUCCCGGGGGCUCAACCCCGGAACUGCCUCCAAAACUAUUGGUCUAGAGUUCGAGAGAGGUGAGUGGAAUUCCAAGUGUAGAGGUGAAAUUCGUAGAUAUUUGGAGGAACACCAGUGGCGAAGGCGGCUCACUGGCUCGAUACUGACGCUGAGGUGCGAAAGUGUGGGGAGCAAACAGGAUUAGAUACCCUGGUAGUCCACACCGUAAAACGAUGAAUGCCAGUCGUCGGGUAGCAUGCUAUUCGGUGACACA